CGUAGGGUGCGAGCGUUAAUCGGAAUUACUGGGCGUAAAGCGUGCGCAGGCGGUUUUGUAAGACAGGCGUGAAAUCCCCGGGCUCAACCUGGGAACUGCGCUUGUGACUGCAAGGCUAGAGUACGGCAGAGGGGGGUGGAAUUCCACGUGUAGCAGUGAAAUGCGUAGAGAUGUGGAGGAACACCAAUGGCGAAGGCAGCCCCCUGGGUCGAUACUGACGCUCAUGCACGAAAGCGUGGGUAGCAAACAGGAUUAGAUACCCUGGUAGUCCACGCCCUAAACGAUGUCAACUAGGUGUUGGGUGGGUAAAACCAUUUAGUACCGGAGCUAACGCGUGAAGUUGACCGCCUGGGGAGUACGGCCGCAAGGUU
rnacentral:rRNA from 1 species